rnacentral:rRNA from 1 species
GAUGAACGCUGGCGGCGUGCCUAAUACAUGCAAGUCGAGCGCUGAAGGGAGGUACUUGUUCCUAUUGUGUUAGCGGCGGACGGGUGAGUAACGCGUGGGGAAUCUGCCUUUGAGCGGGGGACAACUUCUGGAAACGAAUGCUAAUACCGCAUAAAAUCUUUAAACACAAGUUUUAAGAUUGAAAGACGCACUUGCAUCACUCAAUGAUUAUCCCGCGUUGUAUUAGCUAGUUGGUAAGGUAAAGGCUCACCAAGGCGAUGAUACAUAGCCGACCUGAGAGGGUGAUCGGCCACACUGGAACUGAGACACGGUCCAGACUCCUACGGGAGGCAGCAGUAGGGAAUCUUCGGCAAUGGGCGAAAGCCUGACGGAGCAACGCCGCGUGAGUGAUGAAGGUCUUCGGAUCGUAAAACUCUGUUGUUAGGGAAGAACAUAUGUGUAAGUAAAAGUGCACAUCUUGACGGUACCUAACCAGAAAGCGACGGCUAACUACGUG